ACUCCAUGAGGCUCAACAGAGGGAAACCACUAGGCAAGACAAAUGAGAAGAUGCAAGCAAAAAAGGAAAAAAAAGUGCUGUCAUCUUGCAGCCCAGAGAUAAUCACCCUAGAGUUUUGACAUGUUACUUGCCAGUCCUAUGCGUGAGUGGGAAUGUGCGGGUCUCUAUCAUUCUGUUUUAUACAAAUGCUGUCUUCUGGUUCUAUAAUCUGCUUUGGAUGCUUAAACAGAUAUCCAGAUUCUUCUUCUUGGUCACUUUUCAUCUUUAUUCUCAGCCUCUAUCUAUAUUGUGUAUCACCAGGGAUGUGAAGAAAGCUUCUAGAAUUCUAGCUUCUAGAAUUUUCUGUCAUAUGGGCAGCUCCAGGAAAUGAGCUUAUAGAGACCUCUCCACCCAAGCCUGGUCAGGAAAUGUCCCCCAGUUACCCUUCAAGGAAGGCUGCCCUUCCUCUGAGGUGGGGGUGAAGCAGACAGUCAGGAGUUUUCCUUCUGUGUUGAGCAUCAAGAGCUGAAGGUGACAAGAUGUGAUCAUUAUCCCUCUGAAGAGUCCCAUUGGUCCUUUGAACCAGGAGUCCUGCAGAGUGGCCUCAUGGGAUAUCCGCUUGGGGAACACUAUGUGGAUUGUCUCAGCCGGCGCUGCAUCUUGAGGCCAGCAAAGGUGGACACCGUGCCAUGCUGAGGACUGCAGACCAGAUGCAGGCAGGUUCCCAAUGCUGGGCCCAAGAGAGUCCUGUUGAGAGUGUCACUUAAGACCUUGUGACCUCUGUGCAGACCACAUUUUGCAGUAAACCAAUGAGGAGGAAACUGGGAAUAUCAUUUGAGAGAAUAAAUUUAAGAGCAAGCAAUGGCCAGAGCAGAUAUGAAAAACAGAGCUCUGACUCACAAUCUGCAGCAAGCAGCUGCACACAAUCCUGUCACUGUCAGGAGCUAGUCCAGGGAGCCAGCCUUGUAGAAGGUCUAGUGACAAUCCCGGAAGCCCAAUCACAACAAUAACCUGAAACAAUCACCCACAGUGGCAAGAAUUUGGUUAACAACUGACAGCUUCCUAAUUUUUGUCCCUGCUCCCAAUUUAGGGCCACCUAGAGAACGCCAAGUGUGUUCUCCUGAACUAAUCACAUAGGAUGCUUCACUUCUGGUCAGCCAUAUCCCAGAGUCUCCAGGGCAACAGCCUCCAAUCACAGCACCCCAGAAACAUCUCUUUUUCCACCAAUCUCUCUCCCUCUCCUGCCUGCCAUCAAAUCUUGCCAAGUACAAAUGCUAGAAGCAAACUCUUUUGUUAGAGCAAGCUCAGCACAAGUGACUUUUGCCUUCUUAUUUGGGUGAUCUUCAUUUAUUUCCAUCCCUUCUUCUUGUUGGUACUCCACAUCAGCCAAACUCAGAAGCCAACAGGCAAGGGUGACAUUGAUGAGUCCACAAAGGAGUCAUGUGGGUGGAUUACACCUGUGGUCCAUGCUAUUGGGGACGCUGAGGCAGGGGGAUCAGUUGGGCCCAGGAGUUUAGGACUAGUCUCUGCAGCACAGUAAGACUGCUUCAGAAACAAACAAACGGCAACAAAAAGAUCCAUGUCCAAGUGUCCCUUGGAAAAUCUUUUUAGAUCCUCAAGGAAUAAGAUGCUCACGAUAUUUCAACUGGGUUUUUUUUGGGGGGGGUGUUGUUUUUGUUUUUACUAGGUGAUAUAGUCACAUUGUGGCAAAUAAAAUCAAAACAACAUAAAAA